UGUGUGUGUCUUUAUAUAUACAUAAAAAACAUACACAGUACACACAUAUAUAAACAAAAACUUUUUGGAUGCAAUUAAUCACAAUUAAUUGUUUCCCAGUGCUUAUACAGACUCGUCAGUAACUAUGUUUGGUCUCAGGUUGAAAAUGCUGUGUCCAGUGGAAUUGCCUGCACAGAUGAGCAGCGGCUCUGGAAUGUGGGGACCCAGAGGAACCUCUGCCCGAAGCGGCUAAUGGACAUCACCUUUUCCCACCACCGAGCUACUGAUGUGCUGCAGAUGCCAGAGGUAACGCCCAAAAAUGUCCCUCUGCCUCCCACUCCUUCAUUUUGCACCCAGGAUGAGCUGAGAGAGGGUCUCAAGCAUCUUCGACUGCCUGUGUCAAGCCUUCUGCACAAAUGUCUGAGUGCUGCACAGGGACAGGAGCCAGAACAUCCUGCGUCCUCAACACAUGCUGACCAUGAUGGCAUCAACAACUGCCAGAGAUGAAGCAAGAGACCCAUUUUACUGACCAUCCUGUAGAGGAGAUCGGUAAUGGUGAAGCCUCUGUCUGCCAUUACUUCAUCACCUGGACGAAGGUAUUCCAGGAACCCUGAAUUUGCAGUUAUGAAUUUGUCACUGCACCUUCCUCCAUACGCUGGUGAGAUGAACAUGAUCA